rnacentral:ncRNA from 1 species
GCAAAUGCGUUGACGGGGAAAAAACGAUUUUCUUCUGCGUGCAGAGAGCCGCCGGAUGGUGCAAGGCGGUGCAGAGGGUCUCGGUUACUGGCCCCUGAGCGGCAGGACUGAAGCAGACAGUAGGCCCUGACGGAAGCCCACCGUUAUAAGGGCAGCGAUUCGCCUCAAAAAGCCGAUCGUGCAGAGCGGCUGUGCUUAUGGCACAGCAAAGAGAGUGGUACCACGGGUGCCCUGUAACAGAAAUUACAGGCUCUCGUCUCUCAG